rnacentral:rRNA from 1 species
CCUACGGGAGGCAGCAGUGGGGGAUAUUGCACAAUGGGGGAAACCCUGAUGCAGCGACGCCGCGUGUGGGAAGACGGUCCUCUGGAUUGUAAACCACUGUCCCCAGGGACGAAGAUGACGGUACCUGGGGAGGAAGCUCCGGCUAACUACGUGCCAGCAGCCGCGGUAAUCCGUAGGGCGCGAGCGUUGUCCGGACUUACUGGGUGUAAAGGGAGCGUAGGCGGGACUGCAAGUUGGGUGUCAAAUCUACCGGCUCAACCGGUAGCCGCACUCAAAACUGCAGUUCUUGAGUGAAGUAGAGGCAGGCGGAAUUCCUAGUGUAGCGGUGAAAUGCGUAGAUAUUAGGAGGAACACCAGUGGCGAAGGCGGCCUGCUGGGCUUUUACUGACGCUGAGGCUCGAAAGUGUGGGGAGCAAACAGGAUUAGAUACCCCUGUAGCC